AGCGGGGUAGAGGAAUUGGUCAACUCAGCAGGCUCAUAACCUGAAGAUUGCAGGUUCGAAUCCUAUCCCCGCCU
rnacentral:tRNA from 1 species